AACGAACGCUGGCGGCAUGCCUAACACAUGCAAGUCGAACGAGAUCUUCGGGUCUAGUGGCGCACGGGUGCGUAACGCUUGGGAAUCUGCUCUUUGGUUCGGAAUAACAGUUGGAAACGACUGCUAAUACCGGAUGAUGACGAAAGUCCAAAGAUUUAUCGCCAGAGGAUGAGCCCGCGUAGGAUUAGCUAGUUGGUGUGGUAAAGGCGCACCAAGGCGACGAUCCUUAGCUGGUCUGAGAGGAUGAUCAGCCACACUAGGACUGAGACACGGCCCAGACUCCUACGGGAGGCAGCAGUGGGGAAUAUUGGACAAUGGGCGAAAGCCUGAUCCAGCAAUGCCGCGUGAGUGAUGAAGGCCUUAGGGUUGUAAAGCUCUUUUACCCGGGAUGAUAAUGACAGUACCGGGAGAAUAAGCUCCGGCUAACUCCGUGCCAGCAGCCGCCGUAA
rnacentral:rRNA from 1 species